rnacentral:rRNA from 1 species
ACCUGGCGACAGGGAGCGAAUCCCCAAACCACGUCUCAGUUCGGAUCGGAGUCUGCAACCCGACUCCGUGAAGCUGGAUUCGCUAGUAAUCGCGCAUCAGCCAUGGCGCGGUGAAUACGUUCCCGGGCCUUGUACACACCGCCCGUCAAGCCAUGGGAGCCGGGGGUACCUGAAGUCCGUAACCGAAAGGAUCGGCCUAGGGUAAAACUGGUGACUGGGGCUAAGUCGUAACAAGGUAAC